rnacentral:pre_miRNA from 1 species
UUUAAGUGCAACCACGAGUUUUCGUACCUAACUUUUAAUCGUCCAUUUUAUUUAUUUUUUUUAUAAUUAGUAUUUUUAUUGUUUUUAAUUUUUUUAAGAUAAGAUGGAAGAUCAAAAUUAGAUAAAAAAUCAUGACUGCAUUUAAA